rnacentral:tRNA from 1 species
GCCUCUUUAGCUCAGGGGCAGAGCACUGGUCUCAUAAACCAAGACAAUGAUCAUGUAACUUUUUCUCUAGGGUGGAAACGUGAAAAGUGGAAAUCUUUACCAUUAGAGGUAAUGGAGAAAUUUUUCACUUUUCACGUUUCUGCCUUAUGGAAAAAGUUACAUGGUCGAUACCGGGGUCGUGAGUUCAAUUCUCAUAGGAGACA